rnacentral:tRNA from 1 species
GCGAAAGUGGCGGAAUUGGUAGACGCGCUAGAUUUAGGUUCUAGUAUCUUUGAUGUGAGAGUUCGAGUCUCUCCUUUCGCACCA